GAACAAACCAACCAUGCCAACGAAACUGUAAAAUAUUCUCAUGGAUGGAUUUUACACACAAUUUUCUACAUAAUUCCAAGAAUCCAUCCACAAGGGCAAUUUUUGAGCAGAAAUUGCGUCUCACUUUCACUUCACGACUACUAAAGAAUGGACCAGUACAGGUCAUGGAACCCGCGUGGAACUUCGAACAGCGAAUAUGGAAAGUUUGCCUACUCAAACAGCUUCAUUGGACCGGCUCGAAGUGGUGGCGGCGGAGGUGGCCAAAAGUUCGGACGAGACGCUUCUUGGGGACAUCAACCAGAUUGUCACAACCACCCCCAAAAUCAAGGACGAGGACAUCACCAACAUCUUCCAGAUUGUCCAAAUGCUUCCGCCGGGCAUGAUUCCACCCAACAAUUUGACGUCUUUGUGGGGGAAGAAGCCGCAACUGCCGCGUUGGGAGGGAAGGACCAGUAUCAGGCCGUUUUUCCUACACAACAGCAGUCUUCUGGAGGUGGAGAUGAAGGUAAAGGAUUUCCACCUCAGAGAUCUCCUCAAGAGAAGUAUGGAAAAAUGGGGAUGAAUUUGGAUUCCGUUGAUCAAAAUGUGACAACUGAAACUUUCGUUGAGACAAUGCCAAAUCAAAUUGAAGAGUAUAAUGUUGACAGUGGAGGGGAUGCGUCCCCACAAGCUCAAGAACCAACCAGUUCUGCUCCUAUGAUUCAAACCGAAACACCCAAAACCGCUAAAAUUCCCCCCAAGUGGAAAGGUCUUCCCACCAACGCCAUCCAAUACGGUCGUCACAUUCGACCCCCAAAUGGGUAAAUAUUAAUGUCUGCCUUAUAUGACUGAAACAGUGCCUUAUUAAAUAUGCCUUACGAUGGACUGAAUGUUUGCCUUAAACAUUAAAUUGUGUAGCCUUACAUAUCUGAAAACGGCCUUAUUUUCCUAAUUAAUAUCCUCAAAUACGCCCCUCAUAAUGAUCAACUUUUGUUCACUCCAGCUCUCCACUCUGUAGUAGAAAGUACAUUUAUCUGUAGUUUUCUAAACAAACUUUACAAUGACCGAGUUUGAAACCACAAUUCUCAAUAUUUCUGAUACGGAGUCAUCAGACGAAGACAAUUUACCACCAAGAAAGAAGGCCAAAUUCAAAAGAAACUUCUUAGACUACUUUAAGGGUGCAAUUUAUGAAAACUUAACAAUUGCGGAGGAAAUUCUGAAGGCCGAAGGAGAGUUUCGUUUCAAAUCUGCCAAUCAAACCGAAUGUGGCAUGAAGCAUUUUUAUAAGUGCAAAGUAUCCAGCAAGUGUUCUGCUAAGCUAUAUCUGCUUCUCGCUGAAGACGGACAAGACGUAAUUCGUUAUCAGACCAACACUGCUCAUGACCACCUACAGAAAAAUAAAACAAGCGGAGUUCAAGGUCCAACGCGACAAUUAAUGGUCGAAUUGCUUAAAAAUGGCAUCUCAGGUCCCUCUCAAAUCCAAGCAAGUAUUCGUGAUUCCGGUCUUCCAAUACCAAAUCGAAAGCAAAUUUCAAAUGCCAAAGCCUACCUAAAAUCAAUUGAGGCCCCACGAAUUGUAUCAUUAGGGGACCUUGAAAAACAACUAUCUGCACUCCUAACAGAACCUACUAGCCAAGAUCAAACAAUUUUGGUAGGAAAGAUCAUUGACUUUGAAAAGAAAACAUUCCACUUCAUGCUAUCUACGCCAAGAUUGAUGCAAGUUCUCACAUUUGGAGAUUGCUUACAUGCUGAUGGGACCUACAAAUUGGUAUGGGAAAAUUUUCCAGUCCUUGUUCUUGGGACGUCGGACAAAAAUAGAAAUUUCCACCCAAGGCACUUUUUUCAGUCGAUUUCUAUUUUUUUUCAACGUUUAAGGCAAACAUUCAGUCAAUCGUAAGGCAUAUUUAAUAAGGCCUGGUUUCAGUCAAAUAAGGCAGCCAUUAAAUACCACCCCCCCCAAAUGCCCAACCGUCUCCCAGCCAAUUGAGCACGAUUCAAGGACGACCUCCCAUGAAAUACGACACUGAAACCCAAUCUGCUGGUGGCGACACUUUAAUGAUGAAACCCAUGAAAAAACGAGUCCCAACUUCCGCCACGGCCAAAUACUUGAACAAGGUGACAUCUUCUUCAACCACUGCGGUCAUGAUGCCGGGGAAGAAUGUGCGGAAUCCUCCCACCCCGGCGGAAGCUCGUCUCUGCGGAAAAUGUCCGAAAUGUAAGGACUUCCUGCCCCGCGUGGAUGGACCGCUGGUUAUGUCGUUCCCCUCAAAUUCUACGGCAACCUUGCAAAAACCGAAUCUUCGCAAAAUCCACACUAUGGGACGACAAGACGCUAAAAAUUUCAAAGCUGUCCGAUACGGGCAUCAUGCACAGCAUCAUUAAAACAUUGUUGAGAAGAGAUUCAUCUAUGUAAAUGUGGAAUCCAACGCGCAUUAAUGAGUUUCUUAUAAUAUUUACACUAAAUCAAUUUAAUCCAUAACGAUCACUAAAAAA